GCGGGAGAGCACACCUGGCCACGGCCUGGUACGGCUGGCACCUGCCGGACCCUGCUCGGGGGGCCUGCGCCCGGCCUCCUAGGCCUGGACCGGACCCUGUCCAGCUGGGCGGCCCCGACGAGCGUCCACCCCUCUCUGGGCCUCCUACAGGGACGGCGAGGGCACCCCGGAGGGUGUAUGAGGAGAGGCCUGGAAAGCGAGCCCCAGGCCGGCUCGGGUCCUCCUCUCCCCUGGGACUUUGGGCCAGUUACCCAACCUGUGGGGUCCCCCACCCCGCCAGCAGGGGCAGCCUUGCCGAAAUCUCGAAGAAAAUUUGGAGUGGUUUGAAAAAUCCUGCUGUCCCACCGAUUGAAGUGUAAUACAGGGAUAGUUAACGUUUACUUAGUGUUUCCUGUGGGAUCGGCACUGCCUUCUAGCUUUAUUCUAGUCUCAUGGCUCUGUAGGGAAACUUCUCAUUUUAUGAUGAGAAUCCUGAGGCAGAGGUAACUUGCCCUCAGUCUUACAGCUGGUGGUGAUGGAGCAAGAUUGGAACGCAGGCCAUCUAGAUCUCUGAGCGCACCCUUUCACCACUGUGUGCAAGCGAAUACACGCGGAACAAUCCUAGUGAAUUUUCAGCAAAAACCAGUUCAGUUUGGCUGGUAGCUUUUCAAGUAACUUUGACACUAUUGGACUGGGUGUGGUGGCUCACCCCUGUAGUCCCAGCACUUUGAGAGGCCGAGGUGGGCGAAUCACUUGAGGUCAAGAGUUUGAGACCAGCCUGGCCAACGUGGUGAAACGCUAUCUCUACCAAAAAUACAAAAACUAGCUGGGCGUGGUGGCGGGCGCCUUCAUUCCCAGCUACUCGGGAGGCUGAGGCAGGAGGACUGUUUGAGCCGGGGAGACGGAGGUUGCAGUGAGCCAAGAUUGCACCACCACACUCCAACCUGUGCAACAGAGCAAGACCCUGUCCCAAAAAAAAAACAAACAAAAAAAGACACUAUUAAGUCUGGAGAAUGCCAUCCACAUUUAUGGAAACACUUGCUGUAUAUCUGGUGAUUUACGUGUGUUUACACAAUAAUCUUCAUAGAGGUGGACGUAAUCCCGUUAUAUAGAGCAUGAAACUGAGGCCCUUGGGAGGUGACUUGCAAAGAUUCUGUUGAAGUAGUUCAUCAAGUUGCUACCAGAGUAGACUGUCUCCAUUGUGUGGAUGCUGAAACUGAACCCAGAAAGGUUAUGUGAAGCCGACAUCGGCCUGGCUGCCUGGGGACGCAAGGCCCUGGACAUUGCUGAGAACGAGAUGCCGGGCUUGAUGCGUAUGCGGGAGCGGUACUCGGCCUCCAAGCCACUGAAGGGCGCCCGCAUCGCUGGCUGCCUGCACAUGACCGUGGAGACGGCCGUCCUCAUUGAGACCCUCGUCACCCUGGGUGCUGAGGUGCAGUGGUCCAGCUGCAACAUCUUCUCCACCCAGGACCAUGCGGCGGCUGCCAUUGCCAAGGCUGGCAUUCCGGUGUAUGCCUGGAAGGGCGAAACGGACGAGGAGUACCUGUGGUGCAUUGAGCAGACCCUGUACUUCAAGGACGGGCCCCUCAACAUGAUUCUGGACGAUGGGGGCGACCUCACCAACCUCAUCCACACCAAGUACCCGCAGCUUCUGCCAGGCAUCCGAGGCAUCUCUGAGGAGACCACGACUGGGGUCCACAACCUCUACAAGAUGAUGGCCAAUGGGAUCCUCAAGGUGCCUGCCAUCAAUGUCAAUGACUCCGUCACCAAGAGCAAGUUUGACAACCUCUAUGGCUGCCGGGAGUCCCUCAUAGAUGGCAUCAAGCGGGCCACAGAUGUGAUGAUUGCCGGCAAGGUAGCGGUGGUAGCAGGCUAUGGUGAUGUGGGCAAGGGCUGUGCCCAGGCCCUGCGGGGUUUCGGAGCCCGCGUCAUCAUCACCGAGAUUGACCCCAUCAACGCACUGCAGGCUGCCAUGGAGGGCUAUGAGGUGACCACCAUGGAUGAGGCCUGUCAGGAGGGCAACAUCUUUGUCACCACCACAGGCUGUAUUGACAUCAUCCUUGGCCGGCACUUUGAGCAGAUGAAGGAUGAUGCCAUUGUGUGUAACAUUGGACACUUUGACGUGGAGAUCGAUGUCAAGUGGCUCAACGAGAAUGCUGUGGAGAAGGUGAACAUCAAGCCGCAGGUGGACCGGUAUCGGUUGAAGAAUGGGCGCCGCAUCAUCCUGCUGGCCGAGGGUCGGCUGGUCAACCUGGGUUGUGCCAUGGGCCACCCCAGCUUCGUGAUGAGUAACUCCUUCACCAACCAGGUGAUGGCGCAGAUCGAGCUGUGGACCCAUCCAGACAAGUACCCCGUUGGGGUUCAUUUCCUGCCCAAGAAGCUGGAUGAGGCAGUGGCUGAAGCCCACCUGGGCAAGCUGAAUGUGAAGUUGACCAAGCUAACUGAGAAGCAAGCCCAGUACCUGGGCAUGUCCUGUGAUGGCCCCUUCAAGCCGGAUCACUACCGCUACUGAGAGCCAGAUGGAGUCUCUCUCUUGUUGCCCAGGCUGGAGUGCAGUGGCACAAUCUCGGCUCACUGCAACCUCCACCUCCCAGAGACAAGGUUUCAACAUGUUGGCCAAGCUGAUCUCAAACUCCUGACCUCAAGUGAUCUGCCCGCCUUGGCUUCCCAAAGUGCUGGGGUUACAGAUGUGAGCCACCGCACCCAGUCCAACUAUUUCUUCAGGUAAAGAUAUUGAUGACCUUUAUUAAAAGGCUAAUGUGCCAAUAAUAUUUCUCAUUAAUUUAUCAGACUUCAGAUUUGUUUUAGUACAGGACUGGGUCCUAAUGAGACAAGAGCUAGGACUGGUAAACUUGGAUUGUGGAGGCAGAGGAAAAAUUACAUCAUGAAUAGUUAUCAUAAUGUUUUGAAACUUAUUAUUAUAUCAUGCUGUCUAGAAUUCAUAAAGAUUCAAUAUAGUAACAUUUGGAAUAGAAAUAUGAAAUAUUUGUAAACUAGAUAAUAUUUUAGUUACAUAAAAUUAAAUAUAUAUUUAAAAUUUUUAUUCUGUAUCAUUGAUCUCUUCCAAAAGCAAUAUUGUUUUUAAUUUUUAGCUUCUGAUUGUUGCUAAAAAGACCAUUUUUCAAAUAACAGCAUCUAGCUUUAAUGGGCAUUAAUUAGGAAGGCAAAUUAGAAAUAAAUUCAACCCGGCUGGGCCGGCUGCUCACGCCUAUAAUCCCAGCACUUUGGGAGGCUGAAGCGAAUGGAUCACCUGGGGUCAGGAGUUCGACCUGGCCAACAUGGCGAAACCCCGUUUCUACUAAAAAUACAAAAAUUAACCAGGUGGUGGCCUCCUGAGUAGGUGCCUAUAAAUCCACCUACUCAGGAGGCUGAGGCAGGAGAAUCGCCUGAACCCAGGGGGAGGAAGUUGCAGUGAGCUGAGAUCGUAUCACUUCACUCCAGCCUGGGUGAAAGAGGGAAACUGUCUCAAAAAACAAAAAAAAAACAAAAAAAAAAAACAAAAAAAAGAGAGAAAGAAAGAAAAAGAAAGAAAGAAAUUCAACUUUAAAAAACAAGGAAAGUAGUAGCCACUACCCAAGUUAAGAAAUAGAACCCCCUCUCCCUCUCCCUCUCCCUCUCCCUCUCCCUCUCCCUCUCCCCCUCCCCACGGUCUCCCUCUCCCUCUCUUUCCACGGUCUCCCUCUGAUGCCGAGCCGAAGCUGGACGGUACUGCUGCCAUCUCAGCUCACUGCAACCUCCCUGCCGGAUUCUCCUGCCUCAGCCUGCCGAGUGCCUGCGAUUGCAGGCGCGUGCCGCCACGCCUGACUGGUUUUCGUAUUUUUUUGGUGGAGAUGGGGUUUCGAUGUGUCGGCCCGGCUGGUCUCCAGCUCCUAACCGCGAGUGAUCUGCCAGCCUCGGCCUCCCGAGGUGCCGGGAUUGCAGACGGAGUCUCGUUAACUCAGUGCUCAAUGGCGCCUAGGCUGGAGUGCAGUGGCGUGAUCUUCGCUCGAUACAACCACCUCCCAGCCACCUGCCUUGGCCUCCCUAAGUGCCAAGAUUGCAGCCUCUGCCCGGCCGCCACCCCAUCUGAGAAGUGAGGAGCGUCUCCGCCUGACCGCCCAUCGUCUGGGAUGUGAGGAGCCCCUCUGCCUGGCUGCCCAGUCUGGAAAGUGAGGAGCAUCUCUGCCCGGCCGCCAUCCCAUCUAGGAAGUGAGGAGUGCCUCUUCCCGGCCGCCAUCACAUCUGGGAAGUGAGGAGUGUCUCUGCCCGGCCGCCCAUCGUCUGAGAUGUGGGGAGCACCUCUGCCCUGCAGCCCCGUCCGGGAUGUGAGGAGUGUCUCUGCCCGGCCGCCCCGUCUGAGAAGUGAGGAGACCCUCUGCCUGGCAACCGCCCCAUCUGAGAAGUGAGGAGCCCCUCCGCCCGGCAGCCACCCCGUCUGAGAAGUGAGGAGCGUCCUCUCUCCUCGUCCGGGAGGGAGGUGGGGGGGUCAGCCCCCCGCCCGGCCAGCCGCCCCGUCCGGGAGGGAGGUGGGGGGAUCAGCCCCCCGCCGGCCAGCCGCCCUGUCCGGGAGGUGAGGGGUGCCUCUGCCCAGCUGCCCCUACUGGGAAAUGAGGAGCCCCUCUGCCCGGCCAGCCGCUCCGUCUGGGAGGGAGGUGGGGGGGUCAGCCCCCCGCCCGGCCACCCGCCCCGUCCGGGAGGGAGGUGGGGGGAUCAGCCCCCCGCCCGGCCAGCCGCCCUGUCCGGGAGGUGAGGGGCGCCUCUGCCCGGCCGCCCCUACUGGGAAAUGAGGAGCCCCUCUGCCCGGCCAGCCGCUCCGUCUGGGAGGGAGGUGGGGGGGUCAGCCCCCCGCCUGGCCAGCCGCCCCGUCCGGGAGGUGAGGGGCACCUCUGCCCGGCCGCCCCUACCGGGAAGUGAGGAGCCCCUCUGCCCGGCCAGCUGCCCCGUCCGGGAGGGAGGUGGGGGGAUCAGCCCCCCCGUCCGGCCAGCCGCCCCGUCCGGGAGGGAGGUGGGGGGGUCAGCCCCCCGCCCGGCCAGCCACCCUGUCCGGGAGGGAGGUGGGGGGGUCAGCCCCCCACCUGGCCAGCCGCCCCGUCCGGGAGGGAGGUGGGGGGAUCAGCCCCCCGCCCGGCCAGCCGCCCUGUCUGGGAGGUGAGGGGCGCCUCUGCCCAGCCGCCCCUACCGGGAAGUGAGGAGCCCCUCUGCCCGGCCAGCCGCCCCGUCCGGGAGGGAGGUGGGGGGGGUCAGCCCCCCGCCCGGCCAGCCGCCCCGUCCGGGAGGGAGGUUGGGGGGUCAGCCCCCCGCCCGGCCAGCCGCCCCGUCCGGGAGGGAGGUGGGGGGGUCAGCCCCCCGCCCGGCCAGCCGCCCUGUCCGGGAGGUGAGGGGCGCCUCUGCCCGGCCGCCCCUACCGGGAAGUGAGGAGCCCCUCUGCCCGGCCAGCCGCCCCGUCCGGGAGGGAGGUGGGGGGGUCAGCCUCCUGCCCGGCCAGCUGCCCCGUCGGGGAAGUGAGGGGCGCCUCUGCCUGGCCGCCCCUACUGGGAAGUGAGGAGCCCCUCUACCCGGCCAGCCGCCCUGUCCAGGAGGGAGGUGGGGGGUCAGCGCCCCGCCCGGUCAGCCGCCCCGUCCGGGAGGGAGGUGGGGGGGGUCAGCCCCCCACCCGGCCAGCCGCCCCGUCCGGGAGGUGAGGGGCGCUUCUGCCCGGCCGCCCCUACUGGGAAGUGAGGAGCUCCUCUGCCCGGCCACCACCCCAUCUGGGAGGCGUACCCAACAGCUCAUUGAGAACGGGCCAUGAAGACAAUGGCGGUUUUGUGGAAUAGAAAGGGGGGAAAGGUGGGGAAAAGAUUGAGAAAUCGGAUGGUUGCCGUGUCUGUGUAGAAAGAGGUAGACAUGGGAGACUUUUCAUUUUGUUCUGUACUAAGAAAAAUUCUUCUGCCUUGGAAAAAAAAAAAAAAAAACAAGGAAAGUAAAGGAUGGAGAUGUGGUGGAAUGUGGUGGGAAGCUCUGAUUAACAAAAGGCUCUUAGCAGGGAGUGGCGGCACAAGACUGUGUUCCCAGCUACUCGGGUGGCUGAGGUGGGAGAAUCACCUGACCCCAGGAAGUUGAGGCUACAGUGAGCUGUGAUUGUACCACUGCACUGUUACCCAGCCUGGGCAACAGAGUGAGACUCUAUCUCAAAAACAAAAACAAAUGAGCUCGAUUAAGGCAAGUUACAAGAGGCAUGUUAUAAAUUAGGAGGCGGUACGUGUAGUUAUUUUGUGUCUUUGGGUUUUCCUUACCAUAAAUAAUAUACUCAUGGGCCAAAAACUGUAAUGGGAAUUUCUACAAAGAAGUGAGAGUGGCCGGAAAAUCUGAGUUAGAAAAAGAGGCCAGGCAUGGUGGCUCACGCCUAUAAUCCCAGCACUGGAGGAAGCCACAGGGGGAGGAUUCCUUGAUCUUAGGAAUUUGAGACCAGCCUGGCAACAUAGAGAGACCUCAUCUCUACAAAAAAUUUUUAAAAAAUUAGCCGGGUGUUAUAGGGUCCAGCCCUACUGGGUCUGUGGGUUUUUUCUCCUCGUGUGGAGACGAGAGAUCGUAGAAAUAAAGACACAAGACAAAGAGACAGAAUAAAAUACAGCUGGGUCCGGGGGACCACUACCACCAAGGCACAGAGACCAGUAAUGGCCCCGAAUGCCUGGCUGUGCUGUUAUUUAUUGGAUACAAGACAAGGGGGCAGGGUAAGGAGUGUGAGCCAUCUCCAGUGAUAGAUAAGGUUACACAAGUCACGUGUCCACCAGACAGGAGGCCCUUCCCUGUUUGGCAGCCGAGGCGGAGAGAGAGGACAGCUUAUGCCAUUAUUUCUUCUAUGCAUUUCAAAGACUUUAGUACUUUUACUAAUUCUGCUACCACUCUCUAGAAGGCGGAGCCACGUGUACGGGGUGGAACAUGAAAGCGGACCGGGAGCGUGACCGCUGAAGCACAGCAUCACAGGGAGAUGGUCAGGCCUCCGGAGGCUGCGGGUGGGCCUGACUGAUGUCAGGCCUUCCACAAGAGGUGGUGGAGCAGUCUUCUCUAACUCCCCCUGGGAAAGGGAGACUCCCUUUCUCGGUCUGCUAAGUAACCGGUGCCUUCCCCGGCACUGAUGCUACCACUAGACCAAGGUCCACUAGGUAAUGGGUGCCUUCCCAGGUGCUGGCAUUACUGCUAGGCCAGGAAGCCCUCUAGUGGCCCUGUCCGGGCGUAACAGAGGGCUCACACUCUUGUCUUCUGGUCACUUUCUCACCGUGUCCCUUCAGCUCCUAUCUCUGUAUGGCCUGGUUUUUCCUAGGUUAUAAUUGUAGAACAAAGAUUAUUAUAAUAUUGGAAUAAAGAGUAAUGCUACAAACUAA